rnacentral:rRNA from 1 species
GACGAACGCUGGCGGCGUGCUUAACACAUGCAAGUCGAACGGAAAGGCCCUGCUGUUGUGGGGUGCUCGAAUGGCGAACGGGUGAGUAACACGUGAGUAACCUGCCCUUGGCUUUGGGGUAACUUCAGGAAACUGGGGCUAAUACCGGAUAGGAGCUCCUGCUGCAUGGUGGGGGGUGGCAAGUUUCGGCGGUUGGGGAUGGACUCGCGGCUUAUCAGCUUGUUGGUGGGGUAGUGGCUUACCAAGGCUUUGACGGGUAGCCGGCCUGAGAGGGUGAACGGCCACAUUGGGACUGAGAGGCGGCGCAGACUCCUACGGGGGGCAGCAGUGGCGAAUAUUGCACAAUGGGCGGAAGCCUGAUGCAGCAACGCCGCGUUCGGGAUGACGGCCUUCGGGUUGUAAACCGCUUUCGCCUGUGACGAAGCGUGAGUGACGGUAAUGGGUAAAGAAGCACCGGCUAACUACGUG